GGGUAACGGGGUGUUAGGGCACGACACCGGAGAGGGAGCCUGAGAAACGGCUACCACAUCCAAGGAUGGCAGCAGGCGCGCAAAUUACCCAAUCCCGACACGGGGAGGUAGUGACAAUAAAUAACAAUACGGGGUUCUUUAGGAUCUCGUAAUUGGAAUGAGUACAAUUUAAAUCUCUUAACGAGGAACAAUUGGAGGGCAAGUCUGGUGCCAGCAGCCGCGGUAAUUCCAGCUCCAAUAGCGUAUAUUAAAGUUGUUGCAGUUAAAAAGCUCGUAGUUGAAUUUCGGGGUUAGUAGGUUGGUCAUGCCUCUGGUAUGUACUGGUCUCACUGAUUCCUCCUUCCUGAUGAACCUUAAUGCCAUUAAUUUGGUGUUUUGGGGAAUUUGGACCGUUACUUUGAAAAAAUUAGAGUGUUUAAAGCAAGCUAACGCUUGAAUACAUUAGCAUGGAAUAAUGAAAUAGGACGUUCGAUCCUAUUUUGUUGGUUUCUAGGAUUGACGUAAUGAUUAAUAGGGAUAGUUGGGGGCAUUAGUAUUCAAUUGUCAGAGGUGAAAUUCUUGGAUUUAUUGAAGACUAACUACUGCGAAAGCAUUUGCCAAGGAUGUUUUCAUUAAUCAAGAACGAAAGUUAGGGGAUCGAAGACGAUCAGAUACC
rnacentral:rRNA from 1 species